rnacentral:rRNA from 1 species
AGAGUUUGAUCCUGGCUCAGAAUCAACGCUGGCGGCGUGCCUAACACAUGCAAGUCGCACGAGAAAGGGGAGCAAUCCCUGAGUAAAGUGGCGCACGGGUGAGUAACACGUGAAUGAUCUACCUCCGAGUGGGGAAUAACUGAGAGAAAUCUUAGCUAAUACCGCAUAACACUUACGAGUCAAAGCAGCAAUGCGCUUGGAGAGGAGUUCGCGGCCGAUUAGUUAGUUGGCGGGGUAAUGGCCCACCAAGACGAUGAUCGGUAUCCGGCCUGAGAGGGCGCACGGACACACUGGAACUGAAACACGGUCCAGACUCCUACGGGAGGCAGCAGUGGGGAAUUUUGCGCAAUGGGGGAAACCCUGACGCAGCAACGCCGCGUGGAGGAUGAAAUAUCUUGGUAUGUAAACUCCUUUCGAUGGGGAAGAUUAUGACGGUACCCAUAGAAGAAGCCCCGGCUAACUUCGUGCCAGCAGCCGCGGUAAUACGAGGGGGGCAAGCGUUGUUCGGAUUUAUUGGGCGUAAAGGGUGCGUAGGCGGUUUGGCAAGUCUGAUGUGAAAUCUAUGGGCUCAACCCAUAGUCUGCAUCAGAAACUGCCGGGCUUGAGUAUGGGAGAGGUGAGUGGAAUUUCCGGUGUAGCGGUGAAAUGCGUAGAUAUCGGAAGGAACACCUGUGGCGAAAGCGGCUCACUGGACCAUAACUGACGCUGAUGCACGAAAGCUAGGGGAGCAAACAGGAUUAGAUACCCCAGUAGUCC